rnacentral:rRNA from 1 species
GUGGGGAAUAUUGGACAAUGGGGGGAACCCUGAUCCAGCCAUGCCGCGUGUGUGAAGAAGGCCUUUUGGUUGUAAAGCACUUUAAGCGAGGAGGAGGCUACCGAGAUUAAUACUCUUGGAUAGUGGACGUUACUCGCAGAAUAAGCACCGUCUAACUCUGUGCCAGCAGCCGCGGUAAUACAGAGGGUGCAAGCGUCAAUCGGAUUUACGUGGCGUAUAGCGCGCGUAGGUGGCCAAUUAAGUCAAAUGUGAAAUCCCCGAGCUUAACUUGGGAAUUGCAUUCGAUACUGGUUGGCUAGAGUAUGGGAGAGGAUGGUAGAAUUCCAGGUGUAGCGGUGAAAUGCGUAGAGAUCUGGAGGAAUACCGAUGGCGAAGGCAGCCAUCUGGCCUAAUACUGACGCUGAGGUACGAAAGCAUGGGGAGCAAACAGGAUUAGAUACCCCAGUAGUCC